GUGGAGGUCUAUCCCGAUGGGGCUUUUUCUGUAAACCUACAUGGUUGGAAAUGCCUCACAGAGUAACUAUAUGGUUUCAUUUACCUGUAGAACUACCUGUUAGAUCUGUGGGGAAGAACUACAAGCCAGAG